GGGCGCUUAGUACAAUAGGUUAGUGCUGCUGCCUCAUAAGCAGUAAGUUGCCGGUUCGAGUCCGGCAGUGCCCA
rnacentral:tRNA from 1 species